AUUGAACGCUGGCGGCAUGCCUUACACAUGCAAGUCGAACGGCAACAGGUCUACGGCUGCUUACGAGUGGUGGCCGGGUGCGUACUACAUCGGAACGUGCCCGAACGUGGGGGAUCACGAAGCGAAAGCUUUGCUAAUUCCGCCUAAGAUCUCCGGCUGCCUGCGGGGGAAAUUCGGACCUCGCGCGGACGUGCCCGCCGAUGGCAGAUUAGGUAGUUGGAGGGAUAAAGGCUUACCAAGCCGACGAUCUGUAGCUGGUCUGAGAGGAUGAUCAGCCACACUGGGACUGAGACACGGCCCAGACUCCUACGGGAGGCAGCAGUGGGGAAUAUUGGACAAUGGGCGCAAGCCUGAUCCAGCCAUGCCGCGUGCAUGAAGAAGGCCUUCGGGUUGUAAACUGCUUUUGUACGGAACGAAAAGGAGCCGGCUAAUAAAGCGCGGUCAUGACGGUACCGAAAGAAUAAGCACCGGCUAACUACGUG
rnacentral:rRNA from 1 species